rnacentral:rRNA from 1 species
UAGGGAAUCUUCCACAAUGGACGCAAGUCUGAUGGAGCAACGCCGCGUGAGUGAAGAAGGUUUUCGGAUCGUAAAGCUCUGUUGUUGGUGAAGAAGGAUAGAGGCAGUAACUGGUCUUUAUUGACGGUAAUCAACCAGAAAGUCACGGCUAACUACGUGUCAG